rnacentral:rRNA from 1 species
UACGUAGGCAGCAAGCGUUGUUCGGAGUUACUGGGCGUAAAGGGUGCGUAGGCGGCCCUAUAAGUAUGGUGUGAAAUCUCCCGGCUUAACUGGGAGGGUGCGCUAUAGACUGUGGGACUAGAGUGUGGGAGAGGAAAGUGGAAUUCCUGGUGUAGCGGUGAAAUGCGUAGAUAUCAGGAGGAACACCGGUGGUGUAAACGGCUUUCUGGACCAUAACUGACGCUGAGGCACGAAAGCGUGGGUAGCAAACAGG